rnacentral:rRNA from 1 species
GUUAUAUGGUCAAGUGAAGAAGCGCAUACGGUGGAUGCCUUGGCAGUCAGAGGCGAUGAAAGACGUGGUAGCCUGCGAAAAGCUUCGGGGAGUCGGCAAACAGACUUUGAUCCGGAGAUCUCUGAAUGGGGGAACCCACCUAGGAUAACCUAGGUAUCUUGUACUGAAUCCAUAGGUGCAAGAGGCGAACCAGGGGAACUGAAACAUCUAAGUACCCUGAGGAAAAGAAAUCAACCGAGAUUCCCUUAGUAGUGGCGAGCGAACGGGGAUUAGCCCUUAAGCUUCAUUGAUUUUAGCGGAACGCUCUGGAAAGUGCGGCCAUAGUGGGUGAUAGCCCCGUACGCGAAAAGAUCUUUGAAGUGAAAUCGAGUAGGACGGAGCACGAGAAACUUUGUCUGAACAUGGGGGACCAUCCUCCAAGGCUAAAUACUACUGACUGACCGAUAGUGAACCAGUACCGUGAGGGAAAGGCGAAAAGAACCCCGGAGAGGGGAGUGAAAUAGAACCUGAAACCGUAUGCGUACAAGCAGUGGGAGCCUACUUGUUAGGUGACUGCGUACCUUUUGUAUAAUGGGUCAGCGACUUAUAUUCAGUGGCAAGCUUAACCGUAUAGGGUAGGCGUAGCGAAAGCGAGUCUUAAUAGGGCGUUUAGUCGCUGGGUAUAGACCCGAAACCGGGCGAUCUAUCCAUGAGCAGGUUGAAGGUUAGGUAACACUGACUGGAGGACCGAACCCACUCCCGUUGAAAAGGUAGGGGAUGACUUGUGGAUCGGAGUGAAAGGCUAAUCAAGCUCGGAGAUAGCUGGUUCUCCUCGAAAGCUAUUUAGGUAGCGCCUCAUGUAUCACUCUGGGGGGUAGAGCACUGUUUCGGCUAGGGGGUCAUCCCGACUUACCAAACCGAUGCAAACUCCGAAUACCCAGAAGUGCCGAGCAUGGGAGACACACGGCGGGUGCUAACGUCCGUCGUGAAAAGGGAAACAACCCAGACCGCCAGCUAAGGUCCCAAAGUUGUGGUUAAGUGGUAAACGAUGUGGGAAGGCUUAGACAGCUAGGAGGUUGGCUUAGAAGCAGCCAUCCUUUAAAGAAAGCGUAAUAGCUCACUAGUCGAGUCGGCCUGCGCGGAAGAUGUAACGGGGCUCAAACCACACACCGAAGCUGCGGGUGUCACGUAAGUGACGCGGUAGAGGAGCGUUCUGUAAGCCUGUGAAGGUGAGUUGAGAAGCUUGCUGGAGGUAUCAGAAGUGCGAAUGCUGACAUGAGUAACGACAAUGGGUGUGAAAAACACCCACGCCGAAAGACCAAGGGUUCCUGCGCAACGUUAAUCGACGCAGGGUUAGUCGGUUCCUAAGGCGAGGCUGAAAAGCGUAGUCGAUGGGAAACAGGUUAAUAUUCCUGUACUUCUGGUUACUGCGAUGGAGGGACGGAGAAGGCUAGGCCAGCUUGGCGUUGGUUGUCCAAGUUUAAGGUGGUAGGCUGAAAUCUUAGGUAAAUCCGGGGUUUCAAGGCCGAGAGCUGAUGACGAGUCGUCUUUUAGAUGACGAAGUGGUUGAUGCCAUGCUUCCAAGAAAAGCUUCUAAGCUUCAGGUAACCAGGAACCGUACCCCAAACCGACACAGGUGGUCGGGUAGAGAAUACCAAGGCGCUUGAGAGAACUCGGGUGAAGGAACUAGGCAAAAUGGCACCGUAACUUCGGGAGAAGGUGCGCCGGCUAGGGUGAAGGAUUUACUCCGUAAGCUCUGGCUGGUCGAAGAUACCAGGCCGCUGCGACUGUUUAUUAAAAACACAGCACUCUGCAAACACGAAAGUGGACGUAUAGGGUGUGACGCCUGCCCGGUGCCGGAAGGUUAAUUGAUGGGGUUAGCGCAAGCGAAGCUCUUGAUCGAAGCCCCGGUAAACGGCGGCCGUAACUAUAACGGUCCUAAGGUAGCGAAAUUCCUUGUCGGGUAAGUUCCGACCUGCACGAAUGGCGUAACGAUGGCGGCGCUGUCUCCACCCGAGACUCAGUGAAAUUGAAAUCGCUGUGAAGAUGCAGUGUAUCCGCGGCUAGACGGAAAGACCCCGUGAACCUUUACUGUAGCUUUGCACUGGACUUUGAGCCUGCUUGUGUAGGAUAGGUGGGAGGCUUUGAAGCGUGGACGCCAGUUCGCGUGGAGCCAUCCUUGAAAUACCACCCUGGCAUGCUUGAGGUUCUAACUCUGGUCCGUAAUCCGGAUCGAGGACAGUGUAUGGUGGGCAGUUUGACUGGGGCGGUCUCCUCCUAAAGAGUAACGGAGGAGUACGAAGGUGCGCUCAGACCGGUCGGAAAUCGGUCGCAGAGUAUAAAGGCAAAAGCGCGCUUGACUGCGAGACAGACACGUCGAGCAGGUACGAAAGUAGGUCUUAGUGAUCCGGUGGUUCUGUAUGGAAGGGCCAUCGCUCAACGGAUAAAAGGUACUCCGGGGAUAACAGGCUGAUACCGCCCAAGAGUUCAUAUCGACGGCGGUGUUUGGCACCUCGAUGUCGGCUCAUCACAUCCUGGGGCUGAAGCCGGUCCCAAGGGUAUGGCUGUUCGCCAUUUAAAGUGGUACGCGAGCUGGGUUUAGAACGUCGUGAGACAGUUCGGUCCCUAUCUGCCGUGGACGUUUGAGAUUUGAGAGGGGCUGCUCCUAGUACGAGAGGACCGGAGUGGACGAACCUCUGGUGUUCCGGUUGUCACGCCAGUGGCAUUGCCGGGUAGCUAUGUUCGGAAAAGAUAACCGCUGAAAGCAUCUAAGCGGGAAACUUGCCUCAAGAUGAGAUCUCACUGGGAACUUGAUUCCCCUGAAGGGCCGUCGAAGACUACGACGUUGAUAGGCUGGGUGUGUAAGCGUUGUGAGGCGUUGAGCUAACCAGUACUAAUUGCCCGUGAGGCUUGACCAUAUAACACCCAAACA